ACUCUGGGAAACGGAGCUAAUACGUAGUGGGCGUACGNGGAAAGAUUAUCGCCAUAGGAUGGGCCCGCGUCAGAUUAGCUAGUUGGUAGGGUAACGGCCUACCAAUGCUACGAUCUGUAGCUGGUCUGAGAGGAUGAUCAGNCACACUGNGACUGAGACACGGCCCAGACUCCUACGGGAGGCAGCAGUGGGGAAUCUUGGACAAUGGGCGAAAGCCUGAUCCAGCCAUGCCGCGUGAGUGAAGAACGCCCUAGGGUUGUAAAGCUCUUUCAGCGGGGAAGAUAAUGACGGUACCCGCAGAAGAAGCCCCGGCUAACUUCGUGCCAGCAGCCGCGGUAAUACGAAGGGGGCUAGCGUUGUUCGGAAUUACUGGGCGUAAAGCGCGCGUAGGCUGACUGGUCAGUCAGGGGUGAAAGCCCGGGGCUUAACCUCGGAACUGCCUUUGAUACUGCCAGUCUAGAGUCCGGCAGAGGUGAGUGGAAUUCCUAGUGUAGAGGUGAAAUUCGUAGAUAUUAGGAAGAACACCAGUGGCGAAGGCGGCUCACUGGGCCGAGACUGACGCUGAGGCGCGAAAGCGUGGGGAGCCAACAGGAUUAGAUACCCUGGUAGUCCACGCCGUAAACGAUGGAUGCUAGC
rnacentral:rRNA from 1 species